CCUACGGGCGGCAGCAGUGGGGGAUAUUGGACAAUGGGGGAAACCCUGAUCCAGCGAUGCCGCGUGAGGGAAGAAGGUUUUCGGAUUGUAAACCUCUGUUGAGGGGGACGAUAAUGACGGUACCCCUUUAGGAAGACACGGCUAACUACGUGCCAGCAGCCGCGGUAAUACGUAGGUGGCGAGCGUUGUCCGGAAUUACUGGGUGUAAAGGGAGUGUAGGCGGGAAAGCAAGUCAGAAGUGAAAACUAUGGGCUUAACCCAUAGCCUGCUUUUGAAACUGUUUUUCUUGAGUGAAGUAGAGGCAAGCGGAAUUCCUAGUGUAGCGGUGAAAUGAGUAGAUAUUAGGAGGAACACCAGUGGCGAAGGCAGCUUACCAAACUACGACUGACGUUGAGGCACGAAAGCGUGGGGAGCAAACAGGAUUAGAUACCCUUGUAGUC
rnacentral:rRNA from 1 species